AUACGGAGGAUCCGAGCGUUAUCCGGAUUUAUUGGGUUUAAAGGGUGCGCAGGCGGCCAUUUAAGUCAGCGGUUAAAUCGUGGGGCUCAACCCCAUUCUGCCGUUGAUACUGGGUGGCUUGAUUGCGGUCGAGGUUGGCGGAAUUCGUUGUGUAGCGGUGAAAUGCAUAGAUAUGACGAAGAACACCGAUUGCGUAGGCAGCUGACCAGACCGCAAAUGACGCUCAUGCACGAAAGUGCGGGGAUCGAACAGGAAUAGAUACCCUGGUAGUCCGCACAGUAAACGAUGAAUACUUGUUUUCGGCGAUAUAAUGUCGGAGGCAAAGCGAAAGCGAUAAGUAUUCCACCUGGGGAGUACGCCGGCAACGGUGAAACUCAAAGGAAUUGACGGGG
rnacentral:rRNA from 1 species